UCUGCCUAUUCGAACCUCGGCGGUACCAAAAGAUUUCAUCUUCGCUUCCUUCUCCAUUCGCCCCAUCGAGCCGGGAGGAGCGAGCGAGAAAGGAAUACAGAGACAAUCGGCGAACCAGGGAAUCAAUCCAAACAUGAGCCGCUACGAGGGCUGCGCCGCCGUACCGUCUCGUACCGCCAUGGGCGAGGGUAACCCGCCGCCCGGAACCCUGCCCUUACCCUAACUAAAUACAGGAAGCGAAGAGUAAAUCGAAGUAGCGCUGGAGAUUUAAGUCCUUAUGCAAGCGGGAAGCCCGUGAUGUUGCUGAAUUUGAUGGCCUCAAGGCCUUCGGGCAGUUCCCGCGGCGGCCAUGACGGAGGCUGAGAUCGAGGCCUGUAUCCGCAAUAUUUCUGUUGCCGGCGACGGCUGCGAUCCCGCCAGAGAGUGCUGGUGGUCUUAGUUUUCCAGGCAAUUGACAGCCCACUUCGCCCUUCACACAAGAUUGAAGAUGGGUUGGAACAGCUAGAGGACCAGAUUGUUAUGCAGAGUAUUAGUGUCGACUACUCUUAUUCUCCUCUAAAGGCUUGAGGUCCAAAGUCUCUACACCAUGCAUCAUUGUUGUUGCUGAGUUUAACUUUUGAGGAGCAGGUAAUAAUGCAGUUGAUAUCUCCGAACAGGCUUUUGACCAUUGUCGGUUGGUCGUUUCUAAAGGUAA